GAUGGCGGCUGGAAUGUACUUAGAACAUUAUCUGGACAGCAUAGAGAACUUGCCAUUUGAGCUGCAGAGGAAUUUUCAACUCAUGAGAGACCUGGACCAGCGAACUGAGGACUUGAAAGGGCAGAUCGACUCCCUGGCGCGGGAGUACACGGGCAACGCGCGGACUCUGUCUUCAGAGCAAAAGCUUUCCCUUCUGAGGCAGAUCCAGCAGUCUUAUGGCAAGUGCAAGGAGUUUGGGGACGACAAGAUCCAGCUGGCCAUGCAGACCUAUGAGAUGGUGGACAAGCAUAUCCGUCGACUAGAUACUGACCUGGCCCGCUUUGAGGCAGACCUCAAAGAGAAGCAGCUCGAGAGUACUGACUAUGACUCUGCCUCCAGCAAGGGCAACAAGGAGUCACGAGCACUAAAAGACAAGAAGGUCGCCCGAACUCGGUCAAAGGUUAAGAACUCUGACGAUGACAGCAACCCCAAGAACGGGCAGAAGAAAGUCAAGCUCUUACACACGGCGGAGUUCACUGCCCCCACGGUCAACUUUGGGAACGUGCACCCCUCUGAUGUGCUGGACAUGCCAGUGGACCCCAAUGAGCCCACCUAUUGCCUGUGCCACCAGGUGUCGUACGGAGAGAUGAUCGGAUGUGAUAACACUGAUUGUUCCAUCGAAUGGUUCCACUUUGCCUGCGUUGGACUAACAACAAAGCCCAGAGGAAAAUGAACGUCUAAUGUGAAGCACUGUGUGACAGCUUGUUUGUGAAUGGCUACAAAUGAUACAAAAUUGAUAGAUUUCUAUUUCUAUCUGGUACUGCCCACGCUGUUCCCAGGAAAGGAAGAAAAAAUGAAGCGGAGGACAGCGAGCGAGGGAGGCCAGUUAUCGUACACUCUUAAGCAUUUGGUGCUUGUGUUCCAUUCCCUUCUUUCUGUAGCUGAAGUUCUAUGAUUAUUAUUAUCAUUUUUGAUUGUUAUUAUCAACUGACAGGAACACAAACAGCAUUAUGGACUGAUCAGCCAUUCCACUUCUUAUGCAUGGCUAUACUGUACCAGAUGAACUGGACUGUUACCGUGUUCUGUACUACAUUUUGUUUUUGUAUGUUCUUGUUAUGAACUGGCCCGUCACAUUUUUUCUUGAGCAGUAUGGACUGUAGAUUUGACCUGUUAGGUAAUUCCAUGUCAACUCAACACAAUUUUAUAUAUAUAUAUAUAUAUAUAUAUAUAUAUAUAUAGAGAGAGAUAUGAGUGAUUAUAAUCUGUCAUUACUUACCUGAAGCAUCACACGAUUGGAUCCAAAACCAGCCCUGGUUUUCUUUUUUAUUUUCUUGAAUGAUCCAAAACUGUGUGAUGCUGCUUCAGAUAAGUAAUGAUAUCUUGACAAUUUGAUAUUUGAUAAAAUAUAGGUUUCUUUGCAAAUCAGAUCUGAAGAAUAUAAUCACUCAUAACUCUGUUACCUUUCAUUUUGGGGUGAACAUAAUAUAUUUAUUCAUAGGUCGCAACCUAAGACUUAUGCAAAAAUCUGGGCACCCCUGGUAAAAAAAAAAAAAAAAAAAAAGGAAAAAAAAUUGUUUUAUAUUUGUGAACAAAAACUUUUUUAAGCAAGUAUUCUUUUUAUUUUAUUUUAUUAGAAUUUCAAAAAAGGAAAAAGGCCCUAUGUUUGGGAGCCCUUUCAGUUAGCACUUUCUAACUCCUCCUCCUCCUAUUUUCCCCCAUUCUUCCUGGCAGAACACCUCUUGCUCUGAACUAUUCUUCAGCCUCCUUGCAUGUAUGGCAUGUUUGUGGCCAUUCCGAAACCUUCCUGGAGGUACUUCAGAGUUGAUUUUGAAGUAUGCUUGGGAUCAUUGUCUUGAGGGAAUACCCAACCUCUUUUCAACUUCAAUGGCUGGACUGACCAUUGAAUAUUAGCCUCCAGAAUUUCCUAAUAUUUGGAGGAAUCAUUCUUCCUUCCCCUCGUACAAUAUUCCCUGUGCUCCCAGCUGCCACACAACCCCAAAGCAUAACUGUCAGUACUUAACAGUUGGCUAUGUGUUCCUCUUUAAAAAGGCUUUACCCUUUUUUCAAAGCAUACAUUCUUUGGUGGUCUCCAAAAAGUUCAAUUUUUGUUUCGUCAGCCCAAAGCACUCUGUUCCAAAAGGCAUGUUCUCAUGUUCUCAAAUGACAUGUAGGUCUUUGCUGUUUAUUGUCCUGUGCACAGCUAGAUCUCUUUAUUGCAGCUCUUUUGCAGUGAUGUGUGGGUUCUGACCAUUUCUCACCAGGUCUCGGGCCAUUCUAUCUGAGCUUUUUGUUGUAGCCUUCUCCUUCAUGGUGGAAAUUGACCAUGUUCAUUCUGACAUCCUUGGACAACUGUCUAUUGGAACACGUGGUUGUUAUCGCCAGACAGAACAGCCACUGCUGUUGGACACUUUAGAAGGCAUAGAUUUGCUUCAGAAAAAUUAGUUCAGCCCUAGAAUUAUAUUCACCUGACUCAUUGAAGCCCUAACAGGUAAAUCACCUGGGUCUGGGCCUUAGUAAUCAUCUUUUUAAAAAGUAACGAAGUAUAAUCCAAAAUGGUUCCCAACAGGCUAAGAUGCAGCGAACUUUGCUGUUGCAGUUGCACACUGAGGACCGGGGUUCGAUUCCCGGUCCUGCCAAAGGCUGAGUUUGGCCGGCUCACAUGGAGCGCCAAAAUUGGCUCGCCGCUCCAAGGGAGGGGGGAGGGGUCAGUAGGGGGAGGCUCACCGCUUACAACAACAGCGCCCUGAUCGCAUUGGAGUCACAAUCGCGGUUGGAGACGAUGUGGCUUGGAGAAGUAGAUCCAUUCCUGCUGCCGGGGGACCUGGUCGUAUGUAUGCGGUGAAUCCUGGACAACAUGGGUAACUGGUAUAGAUUGGCAACAGAAAAGAAUUACAUUUAAUUAAAUUAAUGUUAAUGUUUUACAUUUACAGUUCAGGUUUUCUUCUUUUGACCAAGAUAUUAAUUGAAAAAGGCUUUUUGACCAGGGGAUUGUAUAAAGUGAUAUACGAACCAUUUCUCUACGGCCUACAGUAAUGGAGAUAGGGCAAGUCACGCAAAUUAGUGCAAAGCCUAUAUAUUCCAGAUUCCGUUUUGGUUGCAGGGGUUUCUUUGGCAUGCCAAAUCUAUAUUAAAUAUGCGUGACGAUGCGGUCCAGAAGUGUGUUGAGUUGACAUUGAAUUACCCUGUUGCUGUGCAAGCCAGUGUUUUUUAUGCAUAUUGACUGAGGAGUGAGGCAUUUAUCGGGUGCCGUUUUUCUUCAACAGUAACUGGAAUAACUUGACACGAUGACACAAUUUAAACUGAGACUAGGUCCUCGGUAAUGUUUUAUAGGUUCUCAAACAGGCCUCAUUUUUAUACUAAGCCUGGCUAUCAUUUUCCUCAGAGCAAACCAGUAGCAAGUUUGCUAGCUUGGCAAUUUUUUUAAAGAAUGAAAAGAAGUUGCCAAAUGCUUGUUUUUUUAUUAAAUUUUUAAAGCAAAAGCAAGCAUGUGGUUAAUUCCAAUAUGGUCUUAUUGUCAUCACUGCAAGCAUCCAUGCAGUGUAGUGUGAGGUCAGCUGUGACAUUGAUUGGUUUACCCCCCUCCAUCCCCUUACCCCAUAUCUAAAACAUUGUGGAGUAUAAGCCUUGUUAUUGAAUUUUCCUGAAGCUUGUGCUAUUCUGAAAAUGAGUUGCAAUAAACAAUGACAGUAGAUUUUACUACGUACUUACUGAAAACAAGGAACAUGUAUGGAACAAGUACAGUGGAAAUGCUGUGUGUAUUGAACUGAAAAAAAAAAACUACAUUUUAUUCUGAAAGUGAACCGUUUUAUUUUGUUACUGUACAUCUAUAAUAUAAUAAAAAUGUGAAAAUCAUAAA